UGGCAGGAGCCCGGUGAGGACAUGCUGCACUCCAGCAGGUCCAGAAGCGGUUGAAAUGUAGCUCAGGAUAAAUUGCAAGCUCACUAACUCAGUCUCCCUCCCUCUGCAAACAUUGGAUUUAAACCUGCUCAGAAUUCAGCGCAGACGAAAGCAGCGGCGGCAGCAGCAAGCAGCAAGCAAAUCAGCCGCUCGCCUACCGCAGCUCCAAGAUGUACCAUCCUGCCUGCUGGAUCGUCUUCACGGCCACCACUGCCCUGCUCUUCAUCCCAGGGAAUUCCAAAUGAACAACUUCCUUGCAGAGCUGAGCAUCAAGUCAGAGCCAAAACCAUUUUCACUCCCCCCAAUGCACCCCACAGCUCUUUAGGACAGGAAGGGAAG